GAUGAACGCUGGCGGCGUGCCUAAUACAUGCAAGUCGAGCGAACGGACGAGAAGCUUGCUUCUCUGAUGUUAGCGGCGGACGGGUGAGUAACACGUGGAUAACCUCCCUAUAAUACUGGGAUAACUUCGGGAAACCGGAGCUAAUACCGGAUGAUAUUUUGAACCGCAUGGUUCAAAAGUGAAAGACGGUCUUGCUGUCACUUAUAGAUGGAUCCGCGCUGCAUUAGCUAGUUGGUAAGGUAACGGCUUACCAAGGCAACGAUGCAUAGCCGACCUGAGAGGGUGAUCGGCCACACUGGAACUGAGACACGGUCCAGACUCCUACGGGAGGCAGCAGUAGGGAAUCUUCCGCAAUGGGCGAAAGCCUGACGGAGCAACGCCGCGUGAGUGAUGAAGGUCUUCGGAUCGUAAAACUCUGUUAUUAGGGAAGAACAUAUGUGUAAGUAACUGUGCACAUCUUGACGGUACCUAAUCAGAAAGCCACGGCUAACUACGUG
rnacentral:rRNA from 1 species